GACGAACGCUGGCGGCGUGCCUAAUACAUGCAAGUAGAACGCUGAAGGAGGAGCUUGCUUCUCUGGAUGAGUUGCGAACGGGUGAGUAACGCGUAGGUAACCUGCCUGGUAGCGGGGGAUAACUAUUGGAAACGAUAGCUAAUACCGCAUAAUAGUAGAUGUUGCAUGACAUUUACUUAAAAGGUGCAAUUGCAUCACUGCCAGAUGGACCUGCGUUGUAUUAGCUAGUUGGUGGGGUAACGGCUCACCAAGGCGACGAUACAUAGCCGACCUGAGAGGGUGAUCGGCCACACUGGGACUGAGACACGGCCCAGACUCCUACGGGAGGCAGCAGUAGGGAAUCUUCGGCAAUGGACGAAAGUCUGACCGAGCAACGCCGCGUGAGUGAAGAAGGUUUUCGGAUCGUAAAGCUCUGUUGUAAGAGAAGAACGAGUGUGAGAGUGGAAAGUUCACACUGUGACGGUAUCUUACCAGAAAGGGACGGCUAACUACGUG
rnacentral:rRNA from 1 species